CUUAGUGAUGCACGUGAGAGGUAAUGGUGAUAUUUUGUAACAUUGUUGGAUCUGCUGUGGCGAGUCCGUAAUCAGGAAAAAGCUGAAAGAAGCAAAUAAUAUUGGUUAGUGGUGUGCCGCAACGUAAAAAAAACGUGCCGUGGCUCAAAAAAGGUUGAAAAACACUGCUCUAAUGUGCAACGACAUGUUGUUCUUCACUGCUCACUGGUGCUGCCCCAUUAACUUACAUGCAGCUAGGUAGGAACCAAAAACGAAAAUAGCUAGGAACCUAAAAGUGACAGCAUAUACUGACUGAGAGGCAGUUAUGUGCUGAAUUGGAGAAUGAAAAUACUGUGUUGUAGUAGUAAAAUACUGAUAAAAAUAGUCAGAUAAAAUCAGAUAAAAAUACUGAUUUCAUCCUUACUUUGCCCGGGUCUGUUAGGGAGGGAAUAUUUCUCACGUGACCUGGAAGAAAAGAAGGAAGAAGACUGCGCAUAUGCCACAGUGAUGAUGGUCAGUGACGGUCGUAGAAGUUCCAAAAAACCUUUGAAAGUGGUCGGCGAAUAAACGUGGCACGGACUUUCCGUAGAAGAUGGACCUGAUCUACAAGUGUCAUUUACUCAGAAAGAUAUCGGAUGCCAGGCUUUCCAUGGCAACUUGAAGGCCAAAAGCCUGAUGUUAUAUGCCUAUCUUUAUAUAUAUUUAAAUAAUAAAAAUUCAUUCACUGCAUGGUGUCUGACAUAAUAGAGUG